rnacentral:rRNA from 1 species
GGAAGGAUCAUUACUGAGCCAAAGAUUUUUAAGCCUCACAUGUGCCUACCGCCCAUAGGCACUAAUGUGAGCCGGGUUGCGAGGCUGUUCGGUCAGCGCUUCUGCCUGAUUAUGUGCAGUUCUCGGAUCCGUUAAACUUUAAUAACGGCUAACGUUGGCGUCUAUGUCCUCUUCAGCUACUGCCCGACCGUCAGUAGUGAUAAAGAGAGGAUGGCAGCUCCUUUCGUAAUGUCAUUACGACAGAGCGGAAGUUGAGCAGACUUAAUGAGCGACAGCUAGUGCGCUGCCAACAGAAAUCACUUCGUUUAUUUGAUUUAAGAGUACGCUUUUUGGCGGAAAAUGUUUUUCUUGGUGGUGGAUCACUCGGCUCGUGGAUCGAUGAAGAACGCAGCUAGCUGCGAGAAAUAGUGCGAAUUGCAAACACAUUGAGCACCAAGAUUUCGAACGCACAUUGCGCCAUUGGGUUCGUUCCCAUUGGCACGUCUGGCUGAGAGUCGUUGAAUUUAAAGUUGCUCAACGUCAUGCCGGUGGAUGUCGGUAGUCGUUGUUGUCGGCAGGCUAUAGUGUACCCUGCUCAGUGGAAAAGAUUGCCUCAUAGUCGAUGAUGUCUUUAAAGCGCUGUAUUAUUCGCUGAUAUGUAUGAAAUAUGUAUGAAAAGUACGAAGGUGCAAAUAGCGUCGAAAUAGCGCUUUUAGCUGUUAUGGAUGAAAGAAUUGACCUCAGCUCAGUCGUGAUU